UUUUAGUAACAAAACUAUGUCUAUAAACGGUGUAAUUUUUAAAUUAGAUAGGUUAGGGUUUUUUUUUUGUAACAAAACUGUCGAUAAACGGUGUAACUUUUAAAUUAGAUAGGUUAGGGUUAUUUUUUUUUUUGUAACAAAACUGUCGAUAAACGAUGUAACUUUUAAAUUAGAUAGGUUAGGGUUAUUUUUUUUUGUAACAAAACUGUCGAUAAACGGUGUAAUUUUUAAAUUAGAUAGGUUAGGGUUAUUUUUUUUUUUGUAACAAAACUGUCGAUAAACGAUGUAACUUUUAAAUUAGAUAGGUUAGGGUUAUUUUUUUUUUUUUUAGUAACAAAGCUGUCUAUAAA
rnacentral:misc_RNA from 1 species